rnacentral:rRNA from 1 species
AUUGAACGCUGGCGGCAUGCCUUACACAUGCAAGUCGAACGGCAGCACGGGAGCAAUCCUGGUGGCGAGUGGCGAACGGGUGAGUAAUAUAUCGGAACGUGCCCAGUCGUGGGGGAUAACGCAGCGAAAGCUGUGCUAAUACCGCAUACGAUCCAUGGAUGAAAGCGGGGGACUCGCAAGGGCCUCGCGCGAUUGGAGCGGCCGAUAUCAGAUUAGGUAGUUGGUGUGGUAAAAGCGCACCAAGCCGACGAUCUGUAGCUGGUCUGAGAGGAUGAUCAGCCACACUGGGACUGAGACACGGCCCAGACUCCUACGGGAGGCAGCAGUGGGGAAUAUUGGACAAUGGGCGAAAGCCUGAUCCAGCAAUGCCGCGUGAGUGAUGAAGGCCUUAGGGUUGUAAAGCUCUUUUACCCGAGAUGAUAAUGACAGUAUCGGGAGAAUAAGCUCCGGCUAACUCCGUGCC